rnacentral:lncRNA from 1 species
GUGCUGCCUUUCAGGGAGUGUGUGAUGGAUCCUGCACCAGUGACAGCAGAAUCAUUGAGCUUUGGUUCUUGCUCUGGCUCCCAUAGCAUGAACUGACCAGAAGUGAAGUUUAUUUUUUUCUGAAAAUACUCUGACAUCUCUGCUGUCUUCCCUGGCAAAAAGCAAUAGCAAUAUGGUGUCCUUGGACUGCAUUCAAACUUCUCUGUGUUGUGUUGAGCAGGGGGUGACAGAAGAAUUAAAAAACAAAUGCAUUCAGGGACUAAAUAACAUUCAUAACCUCUCCAUAAGAAGCUGACCUCACUGGCUGCUGAUUCCCUCUCCCCACACAACCACCUGACACUGAGAGGCAUAAAGGCAUGAAAAGUGAUAGCCCAGCUGCAGUGUGGGAGUGUUUGCUGGGUGGUGCCAGACUCUUCCAAGCAGCCUGGAAAUCCCCUUCACUCUGCAUCCCUGAAAACAACACUGACUAAAAGUAUUAAUGAAGAAACUUUGAAGAAUAUCUGGUAAACCUGUCCUGGCAAAAGUUUAUGAAACUUAACCUAAGGGAUAUCCUUAAGGGACCAAUAUCUGGGUCAGUAUGUUAUAAAUGGCAAUCAUGGGACUUCUUUACAAGUGACCCAGGUGUUAGUACCCCAAAUCCCUUAUCAC